UACGUAGGGGGCAAGCGUUGUCCGGAAUCAUUGGGCGUAAAGAGCGUGUAGGCGGUUCGGUAAGUCGGCUGUGAAAGUCCAGGGCUCAACCCUGGGAUGCCGGUCGAUACUGCCGGACUAGAGUUCGGAAGAGGCGAGUGGAAUUCCCGGUGUAGCGGUGAAAUGCGCAGAUAUCGGGAGGAACACCAAUGGCGAAGGCAGCUCGCUGGGACGGUACUGACGCUGAGGUGCGAAAGCGUGGGGAGCGAACAGG
rnacentral:rRNA from 1 species